UGGCAUGGGCGGCGUGCUAUACAUGCAGUUGAGCGCUGAAGGUUGGUACUUGUACCGACUGGAUGAGCAGCGAACGGGUGAGUAACGCGUGGGGAAUCUGCCUUUGAGCGGGGGACAACAUUUGGAAACGAAUGCUAAUACCGCAUAACAACUUUAAACACAAGUUUUAAGUUUGAAAGAUGCAAUUGCAUCACUCAAAGAUGAUCCCGCGUUGUAUUAGCUAGUUGGUGAGGUAAAGGCUCACCAAGGCGAUGAUACAUAGCCGACCUGAGAGGGUGAUCGGCCACAUUGGGACUGAGACACGGCCCAAACUCCUACGGGAGGCAGCAGUAGGGAAUCUUCGGCAAUGGACGAAAGUCUGACCGAGCAACGCCGCGUGAGUGAAGAAGGUUUUCGGAUCGUAAAACUCUGUUGGUAGAGAAGAACGUUGGUGAGAGUGGAAAGCUCAUCAAGUGACGGUAACUACCCAGAAAGGGACGGCUAACUACGUGCCAGCAGCCGCGGUAAUACGUAGGUCCCGAGCGUUGUCCGGAUUUAUUGGGCGUAAAGCGAGCGCAGGUGGUUUAUUAAGUCUGGUGUAAAAGGCAGUGGCUCAACCAUUGUAUGCAUUGGAAACUGGUAGACUUGAGUGCAGGAGAGGAGAGUGGAAUUCCAUGUGUAGCGGUGAAAUGCGUAGAUAUAUGGAGGAACACCGGUGGCGAAAGCGGCUCUCUGGCCUGUAACUGACA
rnacentral:rRNA from 1 species